CAACUCGUCCCACGCACCCCCAGUGGCGGACAGGGAUGGCCAAGCCCGGAGUUACUGGCAGUAAAAGGAUGUUUGUGAUGCUAAAGUCAGCAAAGCACACGCAGGCACAGCAUAAUGCCCGGCACGUAGUGAGUGCUCUGUAAGGUCAGCAGCUGUCAUCAUCACUUAAUACUGACCAGCAUGAGAUGGCCAAGCCAGCGGCGGCAGAGCUGGAACUUGAACCAAGGUCUUGGCAUCUUCCCUCCGCAGUGGCCUCUGCUUGCGGCAACUCUGCCCUCCUCUGAGAAGGAAUUGCAUCUCUUAGCCACAAAGAAAGGCAGCUUUAGAUCUAACCUAGAUGUGAAACGACAGCCCUGCAUCAGAACCACCGCCAGGGGCUCCGGCAGUUCCCACUUCCUGUCUGCAAGAUCCUGGCCAAGUUGCUUCACUUCUCUGAAGCUGUUUCCUCAUCUCUAAAGCGGGGGCUCACAGAGUUGUGAGCCAGGCACAGUGGCUCAUGCCUGUAA